rnacentral:rRNA from 1 species
UGGGGAAUAUUGCACAAUGGGGGAAACCCUGAUGCAGCGACGCCGCGUGAGCGAUGAAGGCUUUCGAGUCGUAAAGCUCUGUCCUAUGGGAAGAAAAUGACAGUACCAUAGGAAUAAGGACUGGCUAAUUACGUGCCAGCAGCCGCGGUAAUACGUAAGGUCCGAGCGUUGUCCGGAAUCAUUGGGCGUAAAGGGUACGUAGGCGGGUAAGCAAGUUAGAAGUGAAAUCCUGUAGCUCAACUACAGUAAGCUUUUAAAACUGCUCAUCUUGAGAUAUGGGAGGGAAAGUGGAAUUCCUAGUGUAGCGGUGAAAUGCGCAGAUAUUAGGAGGAAUACCGGUGGCGAAGGCGACUUUCUGGCCAUGAUCUGACGCUAAGGUACGAAAGAGUGGGUAGCAAACAGG